AUGAAUCCAUUUUUUUCGCUGCAUAGUGUGUAAUUUUACACACUUUUACUACGAACAAAAAAGUGUGUAAAAUACACACUUUCAAAAAGUUUUUACACACAAUGUGUAAAAUACACGCUUAAAAAAGCCCGUGC